rnacentral:rRNA from 1 species
UUAAGUUAUUAAGGGCGCACGGUGGAUGCCUUGGCACUAGAAGCCGAUGAAGGACGUUACUAACGACGAUAUGCUUUGGGGAGCUGUAAGUAAGCUUUGAUCCAGAGAUUUCCGAAUGGGGAAACCCAGCAUGAGUUAUGUCAUGUUAUCGAUAUGUGAAUACAUAGCAUAUCAGAAGGCACACCCGGAGAACUGAAACAUCUUAGUACCCGGAGGAAGAGAAAGAAAAUUCGAUUCCCUUAGUAGCGGCGAGCGAAACGGGAAGAGCCCAAACCAACAAGCUUGCUUGUUGGGGUUGUAGGACACUCUAUACGGAGUUACAAAGGACGACAUUAGACGAAUCAUCUGGAAAGAUGAAUCAAAGAAGGUAAUAAUCCUGUAGUCGAAAAUGUUGUCUCUCUUGAGUGGAUCCUGAGUACGACGGAGCACGUGAAAUUCCGUCGGAAUCUGGGAGGACCAUCUCCUAAGGCUAAAUACUCUCUAGUGACCGAUAGUGAACCAGUACCGUGAGGGAAAGGUGAAAAGCACCCCGGAAGGGGAGUGAAAUAGAACCUGAAAACCGUGUGCUUACAAGUAGUCAGAGCCCGUUAAUGGGUGAUGGCGUGCCUUUUGUAGAAUGAACCGGCGAGUUACGAUUUGAUGCAAGGUUAAGCAGUAAAUGUGGAGCCGUAGCGAAAGCGAGUCUGAAUAGGGCGUUUAGUAUUUGGUCGUAGACCCGAAACCAGGUGAUCUACCCUUGGUCAGGUUGAAGUUCAGGUAACACUGAAUGGAGGACCGAACCGACUUACGUUGAAAAGUGAGCGGAUGAACUGAGGGUAGCGGAGAAAUUCCAAUCGAACCUGGAGAUAGCUGGUUCUCUCCGAAAUAGCUUUAGGGCUAGCCUCAAGUGAUGAUUAUUGGAGGUAGAGCACUGUUUGGACGAGGGGCCCCUCUCGGGUUACCGAAUUCAGACAAACUCCGAAUGCCAAUUAAUUUAACUUGGGAGUCAGAACAUGGGUGAUAAGGUCCGUGUUCGAAGGGAAACAGCCCAGACCACCAGCUAAGGUCCCAAAAUAUAUGUUAAGUGGAAAAGGAUGUGGCGUUGCCCAGACAACUAGGAUGUUGGCUUAGAAGCAGCCAUCAUUUAAAGAGUGCGUAAUAGCUCACUAGUCGAGUGACACUGCGCCGAAAAUGUACCGGGGCUAAACAUAUUACCGAAGCUGUGGAUUGUCCUUUGGACAAUGGUAGGAGAGCGUUCUAAGGGCGUUGAAGCAUGAUCGUAAGGACAUGUGGAGCGCUUAGAAGUGAGAAUGCCGGUGUGAGUAGCGAAAGACGGGUGAGAAUCCCGUCCACCGAUUGACUAAGGUUUCCAGAGGAAGGCUCGUCCGCUCUGGGUUAGUCGGGUCCUAAGCUGAGGCCGACAGGCGUAGGCGAUGGAUAACAGGUUGAUAUUCCUGUACCACCUAUAAUCGUUUUAAUCGAUGGGGGGACGCAGUAGGAUAGGCGAAGCGUGCGAUUGGAUUGCACGUCUAAGCAGUAAGGCUGAGUAUUAGGCAAAUCCGGUACUCAUUAAGGCUGAGCUGUGAUGGGGAGAAGACAUUGUGUCUUCGAGUCGUUGAUUUCACACUGCCGAGAAAAGCCUCUAGAUAGAAAAUAGGUGCCCGUACCGCAAACCGACACAGGUAGUCAAGAUGAGAAUUCUAAGGUGAGCGAGCGAACUCUCGUUAAGGAACUCGGCAAAAUGACCCCGUAACUUCGGGAGAAGGGGUGCUCUUUAGGGUUAACGCCCAGAAGAGCCGCAGUGAAUAGGCCCAAGCGACUGUUUAUCAAAAACACAGGUCUCUGCUAAACCGUAAGGUGAUGUAUAGGGGCUGACGCCUGCCCGGUGCUGGAAGGUUAAGAGGAGUGGUUAGCUUCUGCGAAGCUACGAAUCGAAGCCCCAGUAAACGGCGGCCGUAACUAUAACGGUCCUAAGGUAGCGAAAUUCCUUGUCGGGUAAGUUCCGACCCGCACGAAAGGCGUAACGAUUUGGGCACUGUCUCAACGAGAGACUCGGUGAAAUCAUAGUACCUGUGAAGAUGCAGGUUACCCGCGACAGGACGGAAAGACCCCGUGGAGCUUUACUGUAGCCUGAUAUUGAAAUUCGGCACAGCUUGUACAGGAUAGGUAGGAGCCUUUGAAACGUGAGCGCUAGCUUACGUGGAGGCGCUGGUGGGAUACUACCCUAGCUGUGUUGGCUUUCUAACCCGCACCACUUAUCGUGGUGGGAGACAGUGUCAGGCGGGCAGUUUGACUGGGGCGGUCGCCUCCUAAAAGGUAACGGAGGCGCUCAAAGGUUCCCUCAGAAUGGUUGGAAAUCAUUCAUAGAGUGUAAAGGCAUAAGGGAGCUUGACUGCGAGACCUACAAGUCGAGCAGGGUCGAAAGACGGACUUAGUGAUCCGGUGGUUCCGCAUGGAAGGGCCAUCGCUCAACGGAUAAAAGCUACCCCGGGGAUAACAGGCUUAUCUCCCCCAAGAGUUCACAUCGACGGGGAGGUUUGGCACCUCGAUGUCGGCUCAUCGCAUCCUGGGGCUGUAGUCGGUCCCAAGGGUUGGGCUGUUCGCCCAUUAAAGCGGUACGCGAGCUGGGUUCAGAACGUCGUGAGACAGUUCGGUCCCUAUCCGUCGUGGGCGUAGGAAAUUUGAGAGGAGCUGUCCUUAGUACGAGAGGACCGGGAUGGACAUACCUCUGGUGUACCAGUUGUCGUGCCAACGGCAUAGCUGGGUAGCUAUGUGUGGACGGGAUAAGUGCUGAAAGCAUCUAAGCAUGAAGCCCCCCUCAAGAUGAGAUUUCCCAACUUCGGUUAUAAGAUCCCUCAAAGAUGAUGAGGUUAAUAGGUUCGAGGUGGAAGCAUGGUGACAUGUGGAGCUGACGAAUACUAAUCGAUCGAAGACUUAAUCAA